UAGCAAUGAUGCAAAUUUCUUUACCUGAACAACCAUGUGGUCUACAUUGAGCUUUUUAACCCUGAGCAGA